ensembl:lncRNA
AUUCUCAUGAAUUGCAAAUUUAUUGACUGAAGCACUGGAGUUGGGAGGUAGUCAUUCAGAAACCAAGCGGAAAGUCUGCAGAACAAGAUGGAGCUCGAGCGACUUGUGGCUUCUUCUGGGGACAGAGGGGAGUGUUAAGAUGCGAAGGGUCUGGAAACCUCGGGCAAUCUCAUGAGAAAGUUAAGCCUGUGGGCGCCCACGGAGAACACCUCCAGCUCCUUUGUCUCCGUGGCAACCUGGAGACCUUACUUGCAAGGCCAGGUAGGCGCCUGCUUCUGCUGGGUCUGGUGGCAGACAGGGACGCCCUUGCCACCUCCAGAGCCGCCCCCAGAGGAGCCGCCGCCGCAGCUAGAGCCGCCGCCGCCGCCCGCCCCCGGAGUAACCGCCUCCGCAGCCACCGCUGCCACCCCCGGAGGAGCCGCCGCCACAGCCACCGCCGCCACCGGAGUAGCCUCCACCGCAGCGCCGCCGCCGCCGCCACCGCUGGAGUAGCAGCCGCCGCCGCCGCCGCCAGAAGAGCCACCUCCGCAGCUACCACCUCCGCCUGAAGAGCCCCCUCCGUAGCUCUGCUGGGGGGCACAGGAGGUCUGGGUGGUCUGCUGCGACGAGUAGUAGCCCCCGCCGCCACCGGAGGAGCCGCCGCCGCAGCUGCUGCCGCCGCCACCACCGGAAUAGCUGCCGCCGCCUCCGCAGCUGGAGCCGCCACCGGAGGAGCCACCACCGCAGCUAGAGCCGCCGCCACCGGAGUAGCCGCCUCCGCAGCUGGAGCCGCCGCCACCGGAGUAGCCGCCUCCGCAGCUGGAGCCACCUCCGUAGCUCUGGCUCUGAUACUGUUGCGCCGACCCGGAGGAUCCGCCACCUCCGCAACUGCUGCCGCCGCCGCCGCCGGAGUAGCCGCCGCCGCGCAGCUGGAUCCACCACCUCCGGAGUAGCCGCCGCCACAGCUGGAGCCACCGCCGCCGCGCCGGGAAUAGCCGCCGCCGCAGCUGGAGCCACCGCCGCCGCCGGAGUACUUGCCCCCUCCGGAACCACCGCCGCAGCUACCGCCGCCGCCGCCACCGGAGGAGCCUCCGCAGUAGGAGCCCCCGCCUCCAGAUCCGCCUCCGCAGCUGGAGCCGCCGCCCCCGCCAGAGUAGCCGCCACCGCAACUGGAGCCGCCGCCGCCGCCACCGGAGUACUUAACACCGCCGCCGGAGCCGCCACCGCCUCCACAGCUAGAGCCGCCACCGGAGGAGCCGCCGCCGCAGCUGGAGCCACCGCCUCCGGAGUAGCCACCGCCACAGCUGGAGCCACCGCCGCCGGAGUAGCCGCCUCCGCAGCUGGAGCCACCGCCGCCGGAGUAGCCGCCUCCGCAGCUGGAGCCACCGCCUCCGGAGUACUUGACGCCCCCACCGGAGCCGCCUCCGCCGCCACAGCUGGAACCGCCUCCGUAGGAGCCACCGCCUCCGCCUCCGCAGCUGGAGCCUCCUCCAGAUGAGCCACCUCCACAGCUGGAGCCACCACCGCUACCACCGCUAUAGUAGCCGCAGCCACCGCCGCCGCCACCGCCGCCGCCACCGCCUCCUCCACCGGAGGUCUUUCCACAACCCACGGGAGGACAGGGAGUGGGCUGCUUUUUCUGGUGAGACAUCUUGUUUAAGAAGAAGGGGAACCCUGGAGAAAGAGCAGAAGAGCAUCAUUGGACCAGCAGCAAGAGGAUGCUGCAAAGGAAGUAGCUGCAUCCAUGGUAGCAUCAUUCUGACUCCCCGCAUCAUGUGGACCAGGCUUGUGGACUCCAUUCAAGGGCUGCAGAGUUAUUGCUAGGACACAAGCCCGGUUAGUGGUAUCUCCUUCCUCAACUCUGCCUGACUUCUGCUGUGUGAUUUGGAGGGCAGAGCAGUCGCAUUCCCAUCUACUUCUUAUCAAGGAACACUCCAUCUCUUAGGAUGCCCCCAAUACCAGUCCUGAUUCUAAGUUCAAUAGAAAACUGCCAUAAAUAUCCACCCGGGCUUUUACCCAUUCCCAGAACAACAAGAAAAGAUUUGUUUGAACAUUAGCAGACUUUAGGACCUAUUUUCUGCAAAAGCCAUUAGUUCUACUGAGUGAGGUAUAUGCUCCAAGGGCCGAAUAUUAGACAAGAGAGUCUACUGUGGCUCUGCCUGCAAAAAGAGGAAGGGCAUUGAACCAUUUGGACCAGCACAUCUGACCAGAAGAUAGCAGGCAUCUUUUGGGGGAUAGGCAAGGGUCUAAGUUUGGUAGAGAACUGCAGCCAGUAGGAACUUCUAGCCAAGCAUCUCACAAGAUGCCUAUAUGUCAGAACAUCUGCCUCUAUAGAAUAGGGCUUGGGUUUUGGUGGCUGCUCCAAUAUCUCCCAUGAGCAUAAUUCUAUGACUUAUCCUCCCCACUCUCUGACAGUGGGUUCAGCCUCUCCUGAUAGGUUCACAAGGUUCAUCUAGUCCAUGGCAGGAUGCCUUGGGCAUCCACUGCAGAGCCCUCAGCACCUUGGGUGCCAGAGACGUAGGAGGUGGUUCUCUCUUGGUGGAGUUUAAUGCUCCGGCCAGAAGAGCAGAAACAUCACCUGCCCA